GCGGAUGUAGCCAAGUGGAUCAAGGCAG
rnacentral:tRNA from 15 species